rnacentral:rRNA from 1 species
GACGAACGCUGGCGGCGUGCCUAAUACAUGCAAGUAGAACGCUGAAGAGAGGAGCUUGCUCUUCUUGGAUGAGUUGCGAACGGGUGAGUAACGCGUAGGUAACCUGCCUUGUAGCGGGGGAUAACUAUUGGAAACGAUAGCUAAUACCGCAUAACAAUGAGUGACACAUGUCAUUUAUUUGAAAGGGGCAAUUGCUCCACUACAAGAUGGACCUGCGUUGUAUUAGCUAGUAGGUGAGGUAACGGCUCACCUAGGCGACGAUACAUAGCCGACCUGAGAGGGUGAUCGGCCACACUGGGACUGAGACACGGCCCAGACUCCUACGGGAGGCAGCAGUAGGGAAUCUUCGGCAAUGGGGGCAACCCUGACCGAGCAACGCCGCGUGAGUGAAGAAGGUUUUCGGAUCGUAAAGCUCUGUUGUAAGUCAAGAACGAGUGUGAGAGUGGAAAGUUCACACUGUGACGGUAGCUUACCAGAAAGGGACGGCUAACUACGUGCCAGCAGCUGCGGUAAUACGUAGGUCCCGAGCGUUGUCCGGAUUUAUUGGGCGUAAAGCGAGCGCAGGCGGUUUGAUAAGUCUGAAGUUAAAGGCUGUGGCUCAACCAUAGUUCGCUUUGGAAACUGUCAAACUUGAGUGCAGAAGGGGAGAGUGGAAUUCCAUGUGUAGCGGUGAAAUGCGUAGAUAUAUGGAGGAACACCGGUGGCGAAAGCGGCUCUCUGGUCUGUAACUGACGCUGAGGCUCGAAAGCGUGGGGAGCGAACAGG